rnacentral:misc_RNA from 1 species
GGAAGUAAAAGUCCGUAACAAGGUUUCCGUAGGUGAACCUGCGGAAGGAUCAUUAUUGUAUAACCGAGGUGCGAGGGCUGUCGCUGACCCGAAAGGUCGUGCACGCCCGAGUGCCCUCACACACAUCCAUCUCACCCCUAUGUGCACCACCGCGCGGGUCCCCCUUUGGCUUGUUCGGAGGGGGGCUUACGUUUUCGCACAAACUUUGUAUGCAGUGUAGAAUGUAUUUUUUGUUUUUGCGAUCACGCAAUCAAUACAACUUUCAACAACGGAUCUCUUGGCUCUC